rnacentral:sRNA from 1 species
AUAAGAAAAAACAAACAAGAAACCAAAACCAUUAAAGAGAGGAAUGUGCUGCAAUACCAAAGGUGGUAGCAUUAGUGUAAACCUGACUACAAAUCAGGAGACAUCAGGAGGUGGCGCCGCGCAGCAAUACAAACACUGACCCAGUAUUAGACACUGUGCAGAGCAGGUAUGGCCAUAUCAACUUGGGUGAUUUCAUAGCCUUAUAAGGUAGCACUAGUUAUCUCCACCAUGCAGUGAGAAAACCAUCAGAAAGAGGCUAGUUACUCGUUUAGCUGACUGUCAGAAGAGGUACUUAAACCCAGUUAGCAUGGCCCUGAAAGUCCCAAGUCUUAAAGCAGCAAAUCCACUGCCUCCACUUGUCUGUGUUACCUUCAGGUUUAUCUUAUCUUUCUUCUGUAUGGCAUUUGCAUUCCUAAAGUGUUAAGCCGAUGACUUUAUCGGUUUAUAUACUUAGAGACAAACGAGGUGCCAGCAGGCAUGCGAAGAUGCCAGUGUGGACAGAGGACAGCUCAGGUGAUCUGUACGGAGAGAACUUGGUGUACUGCUGAUGGGUCAAGAGCGGGUAGGUACAUAUAACGACAGCCGCAGAUAAAACCCCUUCUACCUCCUCCAAAUUCUACCCCCUUCACAAUCUCCGAUCACGUUCCUUAAGUCCUUUCUGUUCCCCCAGGUAUCUAAGGAUCAAUAAAUGUUUGGAAAGAUACUCCAAAGUUUCCUUAUCUUACCUCUGUCCAGGGAAGCUUUAGGAAUUACAUGGUAUGAGCAACAAGUACCUCAUGUAUGUAAACAAUGGCAUUAGCAGUUUCUACACAGGCUGGGCAUGGGAACCUAUGCUUUUAUGCCCCAGCACUCAGGAGGCAGAGGCAGGUGGACCUCUGUGAGCCUGAGGCAAGCCUGAGCAACAUUCUGAGACCCUGUCUCAAAACAACUAACAAACAAAAGUGACAACAAACUAUGAAGAAACCCCCAAUGCUGGCCAUGGUGGCACAAACCCACAACUUUGCAUGAGAGGCUGAGAUGAGGAGAUCCUAAACUGAGGUCAAUCUGGGCUAUCCAGUGAGACCCUGCCUCAAAACAAACAUGGUUUCUGUUGGACUUCUGGUUUGACCUGCAGCCAUCCUGUCAUGGAUGAUUGGAGAAGUGUGAGGAUAUUUGCAGUAGAUGCAGACAUUCAAGUGGAAGUGCUCUUCUUUCUCUUUAAAAAUCCCUGUGUGGGCUGGAGUAUGGAGGAGGCCCGUGGCUGGGGAGGAGGCUGGCCUUGGACUCUGGCGGGACUGACAGGCAGGAGCCACUGUACUUGGCCUCUUUCCUGGAGUCUCCGAUAGCUCCUGCCCUUCUUAUAAAAGCAAGUCUGCAUCAUUAGCGAAGCUGGAGGAAACCCACCAGUAAAGAAAGCUUAAAAUAACGUCACAGACCAGCCUUGGAGACGCCAUGCCUAGUCUCCAAAGCCCCAGCUGUGUUAUCACUGUCUUCAAAAAGAGAGCCAGACACUCCGACUGCGGCAGGAGAACUGAGGGUUCCCAGCCAGCCCGAGUCACAUGAGCCACACAGAAGAUUUUGUUUCAAGGAGUCACCCCCCCCACCCCAAAGAAAUAAAGCCGUUCCCUUUUCUGCCUUCCUGGUGUAACAUGUGUAAUGACACACGAGUGUGCAUAUCCCACUCUCGGGCAGGACACCAGUCACUUUACUCUUUGGAUGAGAAGUGGUCUGAAUCUAAAGGUAAAGAAUUAGUCUAGGACAGUUCAGUUGGUUGCUUGCCUAGCAUGCAUGGAGCCCCGUGUUUCAUCCACAGCAUAGCACAAGACUGGGUGUGGUGAUGCAAGUUUGCUGUUUUGGUACUUGUGAGGUGAAGGUGGUGGAUCAGAAGUUCAAGGUCAUUUCUAGCUAAAUAUUAAGUUUGGGGCCAGCCUGGGCUACACAAGAGCCUGUCUUAAAGCAAUGCAAAAACAAAUCAGUAACUUGGCACACAAGAUGGCUUAGCUGGAAAAGGUACUGCUGCCAAGCUUAAUGCCCUCAGUUUGAUCUUUGAGACCUGAACUGUGGGAGAACCGAUCCUGUAAGUUGUCCUCUAACUUCUACAAGAGCGCGGUGGCAUGUGUCCCCCCAAAUAAAAAAAGUAUUUCAACUGCCUUUGAAGUAGGAUGAACUUCAAACACUCCCUUCAAAGUAGUCUUCAGGCACAUAUAUUUAUGAAGGCAAUUAUUGACAUAAGAUUAGACAAUUAUUUAUUAUUAUUUGACCACAGCGUCCUAAAUUCUAUUCAGGACUGAGAGUGGAUUUAAUCCAAGUAGCUGUAAGUGUAGCUGCAAGGAGUGGUAUCAACACCCUAAUUCCAAAGUCUGUGACAGCUUCUGAAGAAACCAAAGGAAUGUGGAGUAUGUCUGUCCUUCUGUCAGAUCCCUUCCCUCCAGGAAGGAGGCUAUGGGACUACGGUACUUUCUGGCCUGGACCCACUUGCUUACUUUUUGAUGUGGGGAAGAAAAUGUGUAUGGGAAUUCAACAGGAAAGAAAGCACAGAUAAAGAGCAAAUAGUCCUGAACAUAAAUUAAGGAUUUCAAUGUACAUAAAAACCAAAAAAACAAAAACAAAAACCCUUCACCUUUCCUUUCCCAGUAGUUUUAGGUUCACAACAAAAUGAGGGAGUUAGAGACUUUCUAUACAUUCCCACUGACCAUGCCAAGGGCUUUCCCCUGACUCCCACCUCUCAUCAGAAUGGGUCCUAGAACCCAGGACCUCCUCGGUAAGCAGCGAGGCUAUAACUCCAGUUCUUUACCUUCCUGCCAGGUGACCACACAUCCCUUAGGUCACAAAGAAAGUGUAAAAACAGAUGCUGAGGCUGGGUGGUGGUUGUGAACGCAUUUAAUCCCAGCACAUGGGAGGCAGAAGGCAGGUAGAUCUUUGAGUUUGGGGCCAGUAGAGUGAACAGAGAGAGUUCCAUGACAGCCAGGGCCACACAGAGAAAGUGUCUUGAAAAACCAAACCAAACCAACCAGUCAACCAACCAAACCAAAAAAGCAAAAACCAAACCAAACCAAACCAAACCAAAAGCCAGACACUGACCGUAAACCGAAAGAGAAAAUCCAAAUGGUCAAGAAGUACACAUUAGGAUUCAGUUCAGGGCUGAAGAGACAGCUCAGUAGGUAAUAGUUCUUUCGGUGCAAGCAGAGGUUAUUUCAAGCUUGUUCCUCCUAGGUGACCCCAUGUGUGUUGUGUCCCCUAUGUCACAAAGCAAAGUCUGCUUUGGAUUGCCUCAACUAUAAACGACACUGGAACAGGAGAAAGACUGACUGCUGACUCUGCUUUUCCACUUAAGGUAAAAGGAAUAUAUAAAUUCUAAUACAAAAAGGUAUCAGUAUUACUAUCUUAUUUUAAACUUACAAAUGUUACAAAAGUCAACAAACUAGAAGAGAUUUGGCUGUACAUCAAAUAUCAAUAUACAAAAGAAACAAACAAAACCCCCAAAUAACCAAAAUAUCCAGGAGUACGAAACUUUGCAUACAUUUAUUUAGUACUUUAUUUUUGCUUGGCAGUGCAUAUGCUGUGAUGUUGAUGGUGACAGAGGAAGGCAGACUUGAACAUGUGAGACAUAGCUCUCCGUCUUCAAGGAGAAGAAAAUCUACUACACUUUUGGGACAAACUUAACAUGAGCAAGGGCAGGCACAGCCUCUGCUUGCUUAAUGGUUUCUAAACAGCAUCUCUCAUGUUUAGAGGACACCAAGUGAGUUUAUUUGAUUGGGAUUUUCUAAGACAGACUUUAAACUGCCAGGGAAUAGGAAGGAAAAGGCCAACCCUGGAAGUGGGUGGGUUCUGGCAGAUAAAUGGUACAAUCAGUGACUUAAUGAAACACAGGAAACAGGUAAGGUAGUGGUGAUUGUGGGGAAGCAUGUGACCCCAAACUCCUGGAGUGCUAUACAAUGGGACUAACACACAGGCUAUGAACCUGAAAAUCUACUAGAAAUGAACUUUAGGCUUUUAAUCCCAGUGUACUGAAAAAGCACAGGGCUCGGUGAGUAUGGGUAUUUGCAGCCAAAACGGACAGUGACAACCUGGAUUUGACCCCUGGGACCUACACACCAGAAAAAAA